rnacentral:rRNA from 1 species
UACGGAGGAUCCGAGCGUUAUCCGGAUUUAUUGGGUUUAAAGGGUGCGUAGGCGGACCCGUAAGUCAGUGGUGAAAGUUUGCAGCUCAACUGUAAAAUUGCCAUUGAAACUAUGGGUCUUGAGUGUAAAUGAGGUAGGCGGAAUGUGUUGUGUAGCGGUGAAAUGCUUAGAUAUAACACAGAACACCAAUUGCGAAGGCAGCUUACUGGGAUACAACUGACGCUGAGGCACGAAAGCGUGGGGAGCAAACAGG